CGCUAACAGAUGAGCCUGCGUUAGAUUAGCUAGUUGGGUAGGGUAAAGGCCUACCAAGGCGACGAUCUAUAGCUGGUCUGAGAGGACGAUCAGCCACACUGGGACUGAGACACGGCCCAGACUCCUACGGGAGGCAGCAGUGGGGAAUAUUGGACAAUGGGCGAAAGCCUGAUCCAGCAAUACCGCGUGUGUGAAGAAGGCCUUAGGGUUGUAAAGCACUUUCAAUUGGGAGGAAAACCUAUCGAUCAAUACCCGAUAGCUUGACAUUACCUUUAGAAGAAGCACCGGCUAACUCCGUGCCAGCAGCCGCGGUAAUACGGAGGGUGCGAGCGUUAAUCGGAAUUACUGGGCGUAAAGCGUGCGUAGGCGGUUCGUUAAGUCAGAUGUGAAAGCCCUGGGCUCAACCUGGGAACUGCAUUUGAAACUGGCGGACUAGAGUUUAGUAGAGGGGAGUGGAAUUUCAGGUGUAGCGGUGAAAUGCGUAGAUAUCUGAAGGAACACCAGUGGCGAAGGCGACUCCCUGGACUAGAACUGACGCUGAGGUACGAAAGCGUGGGUAGCAAACAGGAUUAGAUACCCUGGUAGUCCACGCCGUAAACGAUGUCGACUAGCCGUUGGCCCUAUUUACAGGGUUAGUGGCGCAGCU
rnacentral:rRNA from 1 species